rnacentral:rRNA from 1 species
CCAGACUCCUACGGGAGGCAGCAGUGAGGAAUAUUGGUCAAUGGCCGAAGGGCUGAACCAGCCAAGCCGCGUGAAGGAAUAAGGCCCUACGGGUCGUAAACUUCUUUAGUCAGGGAACAAAGGGAGCCACGCGUGGCGCUGUGAGUGUACCUGAAGAAUAAGCCCCGGCUAACUACGUGCCAGCAGCCGCGGUAAUACGUAGGGAGCAAGCGUUAUCCGGAUUUAUUGGGUGUAAAGGGUGCGUAGACGGGAAGGCAAGUUAGUUGUGAAAUCCCUCGGCUUAACUGAGGAACUGCAACUAAAACUAUCUUUCUUGAGUGCUGGAGAGGAAAGUGGAAUUCCUAGUGUAGCGGUGAAAUGCGUAGAUAUUAGGAGGAACACCAGUGGCGAAGGCGACUUUCUGGACAGUAACUGACGUUGAGGCACGAAAGUGUGGGGAGCAAACAGGAUUAGAUACCCCUGUAUAC